GACGAACGCUGGCGGCGUGCUUAACACAUGCAAGUCGAACGGAAAGGCCCUGCUUUUGUGGGGUGCUCGAGUGGCGAACGGGUGAGUAACACGUGAGUAACCUGCCCUUGACUUUGGGAUAACUUCAGGAAACUGGGGCUAAUACCGGAUAGGAGCUCCUGCUGCAUGGUGGGGGUUGGAAAGUUUCGGCGGUUGGGGAUGGACUCGCGGCUUAUCAGCUUGUUGGUGGGGUAGUGGCUUACCAAGGCUUUGACGGGUAGCCGGCCUGAGAGGGUGACCGGCCACAUUGGGACUGAGAUACGGCCCAGACUCCUACGGGAGGCAGCGGUGGGGAAUAUUGCACAAUGGGCGGAAGCCUGAUGCAGCAACGCCGCGUGCGGGAUGACGGCCUUCGGGUUGUAAACCGCUUUCGCCUGUGACGAAGCGUGAGUGACGGUAAUGGGUAAAGAAGCACCGGCUAACUACGUGCCAGCAGCCGCGGUGAUACGUAGGGUGCGAGCGUUGUCCGGGUUUAUUGGGCGUAAAGGGCUCGUAGGUGGUUGAUCGCGUCGGAAGUGUAAUCUUGGGGCUUAACCCUGAGCGUGCUUUCGAUACGGGUUGACUUGAGGAAGGUAGGGGAGAAUGGAAUUCCUGGUGGAGCGGUGGAAUGCGCAGAUAUCAGGAGGAACACCAGUGGCGAAGGCGGUUCUCUGGGCCUUUCCUGACGCUGAGGAGCGAAAGCGUGGGGAGCGAACAGGCUUAGAUACCCUGGUAGUCCACGCUGUAAACGGUGGGUACUAGGUGUGGGGUCCAUUCCACGGGUUCCGUGCCGUAGCUAACGCUUUAAGUACCCCGCCUGGGGAGUACGGCCGCAAGGCUAAAACUCAAAGGAAUUGACGGGGCCCCGCACAAGCGGCGGAGCAUGCGGAUUAAUUCGAUGCAACGCGUAGAACCUUACCUGGGUUUGACAUGGAUCGGGAGUGCUCAGAGAUGGGUGUGCCUCUUUUGGGGUCGGUUCACAGGUGGUGCAUGGCUGUCGUCAGCUCGUGUCGUGAGAUGUUGGGUUAAGUCCCGCAACGAGCGCAACCCUUGUUCACUGUUGCCAGCACGUUAUGGUGGGGACUCAGUGGAGACCGCCGGGGUCAACUCGGAGGAAGGUGGGGAUGACGUCAAGUCAUCAUGCCCCUUAUGUCCAGGGCUUCACGCAUGCUACAAUGGCUGGUACAGAGAGUGGCGAGCCUGUGAGGGUGAGCGAAUCUCGGAAAGCCGGUCUCAGUUCGGAUUGGGGCCUGCAACUCGACCUCAUGAAGUCGGAGUCGCUAGUAAUCGCAGAUCAGCAACGCUGCGGUGAAUACGUUCCCGGG
rnacentral:rRNA from 1 species